rnacentral:lncRNA from 1 species
UUUCUUUCUUUUUCAUUCAUUUUCCCCCGCGUCCUUCUUUUCCUUUUCUUUCCCACAAUUUCUUUCUAUUGUCCUUUCGUUUUCUCUCACUUUCCCACAUCUUCGUCACCCUUCAUUUUUCUCUACUUCGACGUACUGCCACAAGAUCACCAUUUGCCACCUUCAAUCAGACAUCAACCAUCGAGCCCAAUAACCUAGCGACCCAAGUCAGCGUCAGACCUAACUUGAAGGCACGAUUUAUUGAUUUUUAUUUAUUCGUUAUUAUCGAUUUAUAGGGAAAUAUUGUGUAAAGCAAGUUGGGUUAUUCGGUUGCUAUAAAUUCAUUUAUUGGGUUGCUGUCAAUUUAUUUAUUUGGAGGAGAAUAUCAUAGAUCUACAGUAAAGUGAAGGUUCAAAAUCGAUUGAAAAUACAAAUGGUUCAAAAUUAUCUUAAUGUUUUGUUUCCUUAACUUUUGAUUAUCUAUGUGAUUUAACGCAUUUUGAACAAGUUAAAUAAUUCAAGAAUUUUUGGCAUUGACUCUUGAGUGCACUUUCAUUCCGAAAUUUUUGAACUUAGAGUUUUGUAUUUCAAUAUGAAGUUCGGAAUUUUCUUAAUAACAAAAUAUUUUUAUUUUUCUAUAGACUACAGUGUUACUUAUUAACCAAAAUGUAUGUUGUGGAUCAAUUUCUAUUUGGAACUAUCUGUUUACAUAGAGCUAGUGCGUAUGUUGUACAUUAAGGAACUUCAUUUAUAAAUGCUUUCCGUGAUGGCGGUCAUAGACAUGUUUAAUUUUUGUUGAGAGUGAAAAUUAUGAUUAUAGCCGGAAACUUUGUUGAAUUAUGUUGAGACUACCAAACUUGACUUAGAAAAGGUAAUUGUUGUUUUCCAUUAUAUAAAAACCCUGUAGAAAAAAAAAGGCCGACAAAUGUCUGGAAGUUUCCAAUGAGCAAACUUCAAGUUGCUCGUUUUUGUUUACAUCUUGUAAUUGAGUUGAUUGUUUAUUAUGCAAUUGUUUAAAUUUUUUCUUGGAAACCCAGAUCAAAAUAGAGAAUUUGAAUAACAUAUUAGUUAUAGAAGAAAAGAUUAAUGGAAUCUGAGAAUUUUGGAGAAGAAGGUCUAGGGAGAUGUGGGAGCUAUGAUAAUUCUUGUGUUUUACUCGUGUUGAAAGAUUCAUAAUUGAUAUCCAGGCAAAUCUAUGAUUUUACCUGAAAUCUCUUUUUUCUGAGGUCCAAAAUUUUCCCCAGAGAAGCUUAAAACUCUGCUAAUCUGUUACUAGCUUUCUUUUUGAGUAAGUUGUUGCUCCUGGAGAUUCAUUGCCAUGAAUUGGGAGCCUCCAGAUGACUUUCUAGCAAAAAACGGUUAAUUGAUAACUGACCGAUGAAUUUAUGAACAUUCAUAUUAUGUUUGGAUUGGACUAAACACGAGAUUUGAUUCAUUGGCUGAGAAAUGAGGUUUCUAUUCAAACAUUGGAGAACUUUAUUUGAUCAUUCUAAGAGCUCUCCUUCCAUGCUUUGUGGUAAUUUACAAACUAAAAUUUUAACUUCUUUCGAGCACUCUACAAUCUACCUAACAAAAGAAGCUGAUCGUACUUAAGUUUUGUGAAUUCAACUAUUAUUUCCAAUUUCCACUACCCUUUUGUUUAGAUUUUCUAGAUAUCUGUUUAUAAAGUCAUUUUCCCCUUCUACUUUUUACAUAUGUGGAAAUUGUGGAUUAAUUUAUCAAAAUUAUAAAUACAUUUUUUUGUCAUGAAGUAUGACUCUUUUUUAUGAUAGUUUCUAAUUCACUCUCUUUGAUGACAGUUUCUAAUUCACUUCUAGAUUUUGAUUUUUUGGGCUAUUUUAUCUCUCUCGUGGAUUAUGUUUUGUAGGAUGAGAUGCUUGUCAAAGAGUAUUGAGGAGGAGUUAGGAGUAGAACGUGCUGCUAAAAAGGCAGUAGAUGCAAAACAAGCUAAAGAUUGUUAAUCAACUAUUCAAUUCGACAUUGUGGUCUUUGUAUCAUUCUCUACACUAGCUAUGUGGUAAAGUUCCUGGCUUUGUUGUGCCACCAUUUACACUAUUACCAAUACAGAGUAUUGCUUAAGAGGAAGAUGAUGCCAUGGAGGACAAAGAGAACAACUUUGGUGAGGAUCAACAACAUACAUAAUUCAUGAGCUCAAAGAGAUAUACUUUUUAGAUGUAUAAUAAUUGGUACAUAGCAUAUUUGCUAUACUAUUUUUAAGUUUGAAUUUAAACAUACUUAGUGAAGUAUUUUUAUUUUUGUUUUGAUGAAAUAUUUUGGAUUCAAUGUACAUCGAUUGCACGUCUUAAUUAA